UGGGCCACGGUUUAAAACCGUCGCCUAUAGUGUUCACUAUAGGCGACGGUUUUAAAUCGUGGCCUAUAAUAUAAGCUACAGUUUAAAACCGUGGCCUAUACUAUAGGCCACAGUUUAAAACUGACGCCUAUAGUGUUUUAGGCACAGUUUUAAACCGUGGCCUAUAGUAUAGGC